rnacentral:lncRNA from 1 species
UUUCGGUUUUGGAUGAGUUUAUUAAGCAUUCAGCGAGCGAACAAAGAAGCAACAGCAAAUUACAGGUAGAGAGAAGCAGCAGAGAGAAAGUAAAACAUUACCAAAUCACGGGCUCGCAAUGUCGCGCAGAGACAGCUGGAGUAAGCCAUUCAAGAGAGCAAACACAAGGUACUGGUGAGGUGGGGUGGGUGCACCACAGCAGAGAUGACUUUCAUGCUGCGGCCCUGAUGGAGAAUGCUGGACACAGCCAAGUUCUCUGCAGGACCAGCUUCUGCCUUUCCCACUGUAAACGUUUUAUAUUAUGUAAAUGAUGUCAACUUCUGUUGGAAAUCUUUAACUUCUAGCUGUUCUUGAGGACAUCCUGUUUUUAACACCGUUAGCCACUCACUGUUCUCCCCUCCACGGUAACAGAAUCAAGGAGCCAGCCUGAAAGGUAAUGGGGUUUUAGAGGACUUCCAGACAGAAGUACGGUUUGAUCUGGAGUGUAUCGGGACAACUCCAUUUCCAGAGCCAGCAUCUCGGUGAAGUCAAACAGCACGUGACAGCUUACCUACAUGGCCUUUAUACCUGUGCACGCAGUCCAGCUCAUGUGUGCUUCCCGCAGAUGCCAUGCUUGCUUAUUGCACCCCUGAGGCCCUGUCUCCUUGGGCUCCCCUUCUUAAGUGUUGUUCCAUUUCAGAAGUCCAUGCAUACCCAGCUGUGCCACAUGCCUACGUUUACACAUGCCCCUUGUCCUCGCCCCUUGUCCUCUCCCCUUGUCUCCUCGUUUAAUUACUUCAUCUCCUGUGUCAGUACCGGAUACCCAAGGGUGUAUGCUCGGACUCGUGGUCUUCUCUGGUUGGUCUAACAGGGACUCACUGAACAUCCCGUGCUGUGUUAGAUGCAUGUGCGGCUCCAGGUUGUCUCUGAGGGCACAGCUGGAGCAUGUUGGCUGAGGGCACCUGUGUUGUCCAGCCUGGCAUAGUCCUUGGUGACAGUAACACUGAGACUCUGUGGUACUCAAGAACGCCCACCCCACCUGAGGCCUCUUCUUCCUUUUAUUUCUUGAAGAGCCAGGAGUGUGCUUAGCUCCUUCCCAGAAGUAAAGUCGCAGGUCAGGCAGGCCCUGUGCACCCUGGUGGGUAGUGUUAGGCUUGCCUUUUUACUGAGCACCGCUGCUAAGGGGAUGUUAGCAAUCCCAGUCCACCCCAGAUACAACAUCAAUGAUGGUGGACUCCAUCCAAGCUAGUUUGCUCAGCCAUUGGAUUUCUCUGGAGGUCACUUUCGUGAAAAGGGGUUACUCAAAAGCAGUGCCAUCAGUGAGAAGUCUGCCCUAGCAGAGAGGACAGCUGACCUGCAGAACCUGAGCCUCCCUCCUUCCAGGCAGGAGUGAUUCCCAUACAACAGCUGGGAGACCAGAUGCUACCCUCCUUUUUUGAGAU